ACCAGAGCCAUAUCUCCCUGCAGUUCUCGCCUGGUUUCCCACUGAAGCUAAGCAGCUAAGAUGCUAACCGGUACCUGGAUGGGAGACCUCCUAGGGAAAACUUUGCUGCUGGAC
rnacentral:rRNA from 1 species